GAUACAUGUACUAGCAAUGUAGAACACUUAUAUCUUCUUACGCCAUAAUUUGAUACACGGUAUUAAUAUUCGUAAGAGGUACACGGUUAAUUGCUCAAAAUCUUGAAAGAUCCUUAACAUCUUUUAAAGUAACAUUCGUGCAAGGAUCUUCCAUCGUCCGUGUUACUAGUCUUAUGAUAGUAAAUGUAUUCGUGUUAAUAGAUUUUCAAUGCUACUUAUACAUUAAGUAUAUUCUUUGGGGAAGUUUGAACUAUUUCAAAUACGAUUCAAAACUUUCCACGAUAUUAUAUGUAUUUUAGAAGAUUAUAAUAAUUCUCCGGCAGAAAGAACAAUCAAACUCGAUUUACAAAAGUCCAUUAAACCAAUCGUUAUCUGUAUUUUUUUAUUAUUCCCGAAUUAAAUUAGCAGAUUAAUAAUCGAAUUACGCGAGGAGAGGUCGUCCCACUUCUUACUCCGGCGCAAUCAUCCGUUCGGCAUCGGUCCGUCAGAAAAUCAAUUUCCCAAUUUGUUCGUCCGAUUAUACAGCAGAAUAAGCCCUCGAUGGAGUUUCGUCCUCUUUCACUUUGUGAGUACAUAAGGUUUGUCCGACGAAGUAACUUCAUUAGCGAAACCAGGCCGCCAUUCUUUGCCGAGCGGAGGAUACGAUUAGAGAGGAUUCGCGAGUAACCGUCGGAGAGACGGAGAAACUUGGAUAGUUUAUAAUUCACGUAGCAACUUCGUCGUAACGUAAACAAUUAGUCGGAUUAAGAGGGUACUCGUUCGAGAAAGGGAGCAAGAACGAGGAAGGAAGAUGGGGCUCGCGUCGAUCCGGUCUUAUUGUUCUAAUGAAUCGAUUUCAUCGAGGUAAAAAGCACACCGCGAGCUUUUUCCAUGUUCCUGCAAAAGGCUGGGACACGAACAAGAAAGAAUAUUUAAUUUCUUUUUGUUUUAAAAGAAUAAAAAAUAUUUGUAUAUUAAUCGAAGUGUUCGUAACUAGACAGCAGACUUUUUCGUAUUUAUGGGAAAUUUAAAAGUAGAAAAAUCCAUAUAAUGAUCGUAGCAAUAUGAAUUUCGAUCAACAUUCGCAGUCUAUUUUUAAUAAAAACGAUUCGUAUCAAAUCUUCCAAUCGCUUAAAUAAUAAUGCAUUCCAGUAACCAAUAGCCACGCUUGCACAACGUCGAUAUUAUAACAGGUAAUCUAUCUUUAGUUAUCGUUGGAUAAAAAUGAAACGACUUUUGUCGCGAAGUCCACAAUUUUAUGAUUUAACUGGAUAUAAUUCUUCUCUGAUAUAAUUACAGAUACGGUCAUAGAAAUCACGUAAUGUGGGGAAUAUCUUUUUUUAAAAAAUUAAAUCUUAAGUUAUCGUUUAAUGAAAAUUAAUUGGAUUCAUGAAAAGCUUUGUCACGAGUUCCACAACUUAGUCAGUUAAUUUAAAAUAACUUUUCUGUAAUAUAAUUACAGAUGUAUUCUGAUAUCAUGUAACGCUGUGAAUACUUUGUUUAAAAAAGUUCUGUUUCACAAAAUCUAUGAAACAGAAAUAGAAUAUGCUAUUGUUUUUCUAGAAAGACAGAAACGUUGAAAAGAAUCGUUCUUGUUAUAAGCCCUUCAAUUUUUUUAUUAUCCAAUGCGAAUGUCGGGAUUCCGAGUCGAAGAAUAAACCACGUUGUUCCCCUAAAACUGGUUCAUCCUUACCGCGUCAGUUGUUCUGAAAACUUUAACCAUGUCUGAAUGCAUCCGCUUUAAUUCAAGCAGGGGGAAAAGCUGGGUUUUACAGAACCAUAACGCGAUGAACCACUUUUUUAUCCUAUGAAAACUCUUCGCUGCGUAUACUUUUUGACGAACCAAAGAAUCAAAUUUCCAAUUAUCAGAAUGAAAUUUCCCAUAUCGGUAUCGUUCGGUUCUUCGACUCUCUAUUACCCCCUAUAUCAUUCUUUUCCUCUUUUUCGCGAUUUUAUUUUGAAUAAAAAUAUUUGUCUCCACGAAUGUUAUUCGAGGAAUAUUGCGUUAGAUAUAAAAACAUAAAGAAAUUAUUUUUUAAUGAUGUAAAUUAUAAAAUUCCCUAACAUCGCGUUCCAUGUAUUAUACAAAAGUAUAAAUGAGAAAGUAACCACCAUUUUUAACAUAUCAACGACCAUUGACGUAUUACUACAUUUUUUCAUAGCUCAAAAUCCAUACAGAUCGAUUAUAUCAGUAACUCUGAGAAAACGAUGAUUUCCUGUAUCUAUUUCAAUUAAUAACAGUAAGUGAUACAGUAAAUCAAAUUUUUGAAAUUCUCGAUCGUCCUUUAAUUGUAGAACCUUAUGGUCCUGUAUAAUGUGAGAUAUCGAUAGGAUUAUU